AUUGAACGCUGGCGGCAGGCCUAACACAUGCAAGUCGAGCGGAUGAAGGGAGCUUGCUCCUGGAUUCAGCGGCGGACGGGUGAGUAAUGCCUAGGAAUCUGCCUUGUAGUGGGGGAUAACGUCCGUAAACGGGCGCUAAUACCGCAUACGUCCUGAGGGAGAAAGUGGGGGAUCUUCGGACCUCACGCUAUCAGAUGAGCCUAGGUCGGAUUAGCUAGUUGGUGGGGUAAAGGCCUACCAAGGCGACGAUCCGUAACUGGUCUGAGAGGAUGAUCAGUCACACUGGAACUGAGACACGGUCCAGACUCCUACGGGAGGCAGCAGUGGGGAAUAUUGGACAAUGGGCGAAAGCCUGAUCCAGCCAUGCCGCGUGUGUGAAGAAGGUCUUCGGAUUGUAAAGCACUUUAAGUUGGGAGGAAGGGAAGUAAGUUAAUACCUGGCUGUUUUGACGUUACCAACAGAAUAAGCACCGGCUAACUUCGUG
rnacentral:rRNA from 1 species